UACAGAGGUCCCAAGCGUUAUCCGGAUUCACUGGGUUUAAAGGGUGCGUAGGUGGGUUGGUAAGUCAGUGGUGAAGUCUCCGAGCUUAACUUGGAAACUGCCAUUGAUACUAUCAAUCUUGAAUACUGUGGAGGUCAGCGGAAUAUGUCAUGUAGCGGUGAAAUGCUUAGAUAUGACAUAGAACACCAAUUGCGAAGGCAGCUGGCUACACAAAUAUUGACACUGAGGCACGAAAGCGUGGGGAUCAAACAGG
rnacentral:rRNA from 1 species